UACGGGGGGGGGCAAGCGUUGUUCGGAAUUACUGGGCGUAAAGGGCUCGUAGGCGGCCAACUAAGUCAGACGUGAAAUCCCUCGGCUUAACCGGGGAACUGCAUCUGAUACUGGAUGGCUUGAGUUCGGGAGAGGGAUGCGGAAUUCCAGGUGUAGCGGUGAAAUGCGUAGAUAUCUGGAGGAACACCGGUGGCGAAGGCGGCAUCCUGGGCUGAGAUUGACGCUCAGGCACGAAAGCGUGGGGAGCAAACAGG
rnacentral:rRNA from 1 species